UUUUCUUCUGAAUUCUCUUGUCAUCCAACCAAAGGGCCAAGCUAACAAAUUGGGAUGCACUCCUCAUAUGGGCGGUUGCUCAUUCCUGGAAUGGCAGUGCCCAAGGAAGCAUGCAUUUAAUUCCUGUCCUCUUGCCACUGGGCACUUUGAAGGAAACUUUCCACAUUGCAGCACCGAUGGAGGCAUGUGCAAAGCACGAAGGCCCCUCUCUUUAAGCUGUUCUGUGUUUCUAAUCAUGUCUUGCCCACCAACUGCAAAUCUAUAUAUGACACACUAAGCCUCCUCAAGGGACAAGAAGACAAAGUGGGACACAGCGACAGGAUCUCACAGGUGCCUCUAUCUUCAUACUGCUGCAUCACACUGAUCUUCAGGGCAAGAGCUCUGCUUUUCCUAGCCAAGGUGGCCUAGGAUGCCCUGUUUGGGAUUCUGUAGGAGGCCCCUGAAAAAGAAUCGCCAACACUUGCACUGACUCUAAGCAGCUCACCACUGGUUCUCGUUUAGAAGGCAUCCAUCUACCAGUACAUUCUAUCUUUUCAAUGUCAAAGGCAGUUGAUUAGAUGGUCAGCCUGGCUCGAACUUGGAUGCAACUUCUUUGACGGUGAACCAAGUGAAAACCAUAGAGUAUUUGAAUCGGACAUGAUGCCUGUUUAAAGAUGGGACAGAAGCCUGGAAUUGUGAGCCACAACUCUGCUGGAAUUGUGAACUGCAGCUCUGCUGUCCCUAGUCAACUCUAUUGGCUUUCUUUGCUCCGUUUUCUCUCCCAGAGCAUGGGGCCUCUGAGGGGCUUUCUGCUUACAUUUUCAGACCCGGGAGGUUUCUGAAACCUGGAUGUGGGAAAGGAAAUAUCAUAUUUCAAGUACAGUACUGUUCCAAGCUGUAUGUAAACAUAUUCAACAUUCAAAGCAGAUGUCACCCAACAGAGAACAAAUGCUAGUGGUGGUGAUGGUGGGGUAGAAACCCUUCCCAAAGCAAGCACACUGGCAGCUGCCCCUGAAGAACCACAGGGUCUAAAGACAAAGGGGCACAGACACACGGCCCAAGCCAUUCCAAGGAAGCCAGUAUUAUUGAUGUUCUAUUACAGAUGGGAGGCUAGGCAUGGUGGGAACUAUUAGAACCCCAACACUUGGGAUGCAGGGACUCAGAGAGCUGCUGUGAGUUCAAGGCCACCUUGGUUUAGUUUACAAGGUUAGUAGUAGACAGGACAAAGCUUAAGGGUAAGAUCCUGCCUAAUAAAGCAAUCAAAUACCCCUCCCAUAAAAUAAAUAAAAACAAAACAACAAAUAAAAUCAUAAGACACAAAUGGGAAGGGAGGCUCGAUCUGUGGGUGAGUAGCUAGCUCUCUUUCUCCUCCGUGUGUGUGAGAAUGUAUGUGUUGUUCAUGUGUGGGUGGUAUCUGUAUAUGCGUGGGUGUGCCCUAGAUGUUCAGGAGUGGACAUCUGGUGUCCUGCUCCACCACUCUCUGCCUUAUUCUUAGACAGGGUCUCUCACUGAACCUGGAGCUAGCCUGGCAGCCAGCCAGCCCCAGUGAUCAUUCUGAGUCUGCUGCCACCCACGGGCUACAGACAAGCAUGGUUGUCCCUGUAUUUUUAUGUGGUGUUGGGGGACUUGAAGUCAAGUCCUCAUGGUUAUACAAUAAGUCCUCUUACCACUUAGCCAUUUCCCCAGAUCACCCAUACCACAGUUAACAAAUCCAAAAAGAAAACUUCCUCUAAGUAGGGAAGGCUGAGAGGGUACAGGUACAGGGAAGACCAAUUAGAAGACGGGACAGGAUAUCCUAGCUGGGGAAGAGUUAUCCUUCCAGUGGGGUUGCUUAUGUUGGGACAGGGCAUCCCUUACAUGUGUCAGAGGCAGUUUAGCUAGCUACACGCCAGCAUAUCUCCUGAUCACUUUAACUAAAGAAGGUGGUGUAGACCCGGUGCUGCUGGCUUUUCCUUGGUACAGACACUGCAACAUCAUGAAGUAUCACUUGUUUACGGUCAGUGUAAUGAAGUCAAGGUGGAUGGUCUUGUAUAGCCAAAUGGGUGGAAGAAUGGACAUGUGUGAAGACUAAGUAAUGCACAGUGUAUGGAUGAGAAUUCGUGAGCACAGGGGGAGAGAGUGAGCACCAUCAUUUCUCUGUAUUCCGUGUUGAGCAGAUGUGUCUGGCUUGAAAGCGUUCAACUCCGGCAAACUCACUCUGUGUGACAGGAGGUGGUUUGUCACUGAUCAAGGAAGGCCUGAGGAUGCUCAGAGAUCUACUCUGGCAUUCUGGGGGUGGGGUGGGGGAAUCUCUUGAAGAAGUCUAGUCCUGAAUCUACAUGGCAGGCAUCUUGAAAGAUGUCAGUGGACAUGCCUAGCCUAAGUUGACUUGUGUGACACAUGCAGCAUGCUGUUCUGGUCAGGAAAAAAAAAAUCACUUUAAUUCUUUAGAAUUUGGUUUCCUAAUUUGUAAGUGAGGGGCAAGCUAGUCUACCUCCUAUGGUUAUUUUGAUAAUUCAAAAAGAGUGAAGUAUUUAUAAUAGUACUUGGAAGUUGCUCAUCCAGGUGUUAGUUUCUUUUAUCAGAGUGCCUGUGAAUACAUGCACAUACAGAUAUAUACACAUAUACAAGUAACCAAACAACUCUAGCCUCUGGCAUCAGUUUGAAUGACCAUCUCCUCAUAGGAACAAAUUCAUUGACUUCUAAACAAAACCACGAAGCAUCUGAUUUUGUGUGUGUAACAGGGUUUCGAGCAAGGAAAACCUACUGAGGCUCAUGGAGUGAGCCUGCUAUCUAGGGUUGCCAACUGGAAUGCAGAGUUCCGCUCUUGCGGAAGAGAUCCUACCAUGUGACUCCAUGUGACAUUCUGUGGUGUUUCCACGCCUGGUUUUACUUUUUGCCUUCUCUGAGCAGUCCUCCCUGGUUGAUUCCUCAACACAGUUUCUUAGAACAUUUACAAACGGUGCUCUUCUCUUACCACUAGUAGUUGCUGUGCCAUAUUGUUUUUUUUUUUUUGGUCUGUUUGUUUUCCUCUUUUUAUUUAUCAGCUAUUGUUGUGAGUCUUUAGGAAUUGAUUGGCUUUACCUUUGAUAACCACUUUGUAAUGUCCUUAUGCCUGCUGAUAAGGCAACCACGUGACUUACACGUAGCAUAUGUUCA
rnacentral:lncRNA from 1 species